rnacentral:snRNA from 1 species
AUAUCUACCUGAAAGAUAAGAUAUCAUGAUCAUAAAGUGGUUCUCCCAGGGCAAGACUUAUCCAUUACACUCCAGAUGUGCUGACUCCUGCGAUUUCUCCCAAUGUGACUCCAGGUUGGAUCAAUCUUC